UACGUAGGGUGCGAGCGUUUGUCCGGAAUUAUUGGGCGUAAAGGGCUCGUAGGCGGUCUGUCACGUCGGGAGUGAAAACACGGGGCUUAACCCCGUGCCUGCUUCCGAUACGGGCAGACUAGAGGUAUGCAGGGGAGAACGGAAUUCCUGGUGUAGCGGUGAAAUGCGCAGAUAUCAGGAGGAACACCGGUGGCGAAGGCGGUUCUCUGGGCAUUACCUGACGCUGAGGAGCGAAAGUGUGGGGAGCGAACAGG
rnacentral:rRNA from 1 species